rnacentral:tRNA from 1 species
GCCCUUUUAGCUCAGUGGUAGAGCAGCUCAUUCGUAAUGAGCAGGUCGUCGGUUCAAGUCCGAUGAAGGGCU